rnacentral:lncRNA from 1 species
GAUUGUCUUCAAGCUGAGCACACACUGAGCACUGGGCCUGCCUUCUUCCUAACACAGGUUUUUGUAAGCUCCAGACAUUGGAUAAAGCAUUUUGAGGGAUAGGUGAAAACGAAAUCCUGCCCUUUACUCUUGAGAACUCACUCUGCUGUGGGAGGAGAGACAGGCAGCAUUCUGACCACAAUGCCAGAAGACAAUACGGAAUUACUCAGUACAUGAAGCACCAGGAAGAUGACAACAGAAGAGAGAGGACCCAGACAUUGGAAUCAGCAGCCACCAGGUGCAAUCUCCAACAUGUGCGGGCUUUGGGAAAACACAAUCGGGCAAGUGAAGUUUGUUGCAGACAAGUUCUUCUUCCCCUCUGCCACAACCUCCUCCAAGGUUACAGGGAGAGCACCCUGUCUGUGAAGAAGCAGGUUCUCAUCUGAUACCAAAUCUGCUGGCACCUUGAUCUUGGACUUCCCAGACUCCAGGACUGUGAGUAACACAUUUGUGUUGUUUACAAGCUGCUCAGAAGGUGGUAAAUUGUGAUAGCAGGCCAAAUGGACCACGACAGGGUAUAAGUUGUUUUAUCCCCAUUUUAUAGAAGAGGUAAACAGGCUCAGGAUGAGCACAGGCCAAAACCGCCUAAUGAAUAUUAGCAACCAGAUAUUUCCUGGCACACAGUCCACACCAAGUAAAUGUUUGAGCGGCUGUUGAGCUGAAUCAUUGUUUAAUUUUUGUCUUUCCACCACAGGAAGAUCACAGAUUGACAUCAGCAGGAAAACUUGCCAGGCAGCAGGAGGAUCCAUUUGAAAACUCACGAGAAAAAGGCCCUUGAGGCCUUUUUCCUGGUUAUUGAAGACAUCUUAGGAAACACUUAUGGUGACAAUUAAUCAAGCAAAAAUAGAUCCAGUUUUUCUGAAGAUCAAGCUUAACAUGUGUGCCAUGCUUUAAAAUGUCUUUCCAGGCACUCUCUCCUGCCCACGGAUCUUGCUUGGGAAAGGAAUGGGGCAAGUGGAAAUGGCCAUUUCUUAGAUGAACACAUCAGGGACUUGCUCCAGUCUGAAGUCUAUACAGAGCUAGGCUUUGAAUCCAGUCACGUAACUGCAUAGCAGCAAAUCAGCCUUUCAGAAUAUUGCAGGAUCAGCAAUGAAAUUCCCUUUGCCAGAGAAAUGGACAAACAAGGAAGCAACAAUGGUGAUGGUGGAAGUGUUCUUCAAGUCUAAGUUUGGGUUCUAGAAACAUCUGGCCAAAUAACGUCUUUCACAACUAAAAUAGAAUAUAAAGAAGCCAUUUGACCUGCCUCAGUUAUCAUGGUCAUCAUGACAAGCUGCAGCAGGACAAAUCAGCUUAACAAUUUCGGAAACUGCCAGAAAUGCUAUUUGGAUUAAUUUUUAUUUGGGAGUUGGCUAAAACUGGUCACAUCCCCAAAUACCUCAAGAUAAACAACAUAGCAUUAUCAUACAAAUCUAUAUUCACCAAAUUAGGUUAAAAUAGGCUGUUUUGAGAAGGUUGAAUUUUUUUAUGGGGAUUAUUCCCAAAAUACGUUUAGACACAAGAAGUUCAACUUUUCUUUUUUCCAUAUUUGAUGUCAAUCAAACUAAUUACUACAUGUUUGGAAUUGCAUUAAUUGUAUUCUUCAGUUACCUAUAAAAUUUAAUUAUCAUGUCUUUAUG